AGCUGUGAUAAAGCACAGAAACCAUGAAACAAGACUAUAUCUUUAGGAGCUAUUCUGUAGUAGUAUAUAAAGCUGACUAGAUCUGUGUUAUUUCACACCAUGUACAUUUUUAGAAUGGAAAAUUUAAGAAGAAAAAAACAUUCUAACUGUCCCAAUUAGUUUCUGCUGUUGAGGUGGUUUUUGUUUUUCCUUUCUAAAGAAUCAGUCUAACUGUAGUGACAACCAACAACCUAGUCUUGAUCUCAUUUUGCAAAUCAAGAUGAUCUGGCUGCUGCAGCUUCUGCUGAGUAUAGGUAAGAAAGGUACCAAGUCAGUGGCAUCUGGACUUGCUUUCCAAUGUGGAGAAUGGCUGUUGGACAUAGCUGAUUUUCUAGCUCCCGGGUUCCCCCAUGUGUGAUGGUAUCCAUUCAAACCAGAGUACCCCAAUUGCAUGUGUGGUGGCAUGUGCUUCUCUUGAGGGACCAGACUCAAGGAUGCAUGAUUUGCCUUGUGUACAUAGUGAAGAAAAUGCUUGUGGUUUUUAAUUUGGUAUCAUAGUACCUCAUCUAAUUCCAUUUCUUGAGAGUCUACCCUUUAGAGAGGAAGA